UGGCUCGUAGCUCAGUUGGUUAGAGCGCCGCCCUGUCACGGCGGAGGUCGCCGGUUCGAGUCCGGUCGGGCUCG
rnacentral:tRNA from 1 species